rnacentral:rRNA from 1 species
CUCCUGGAAACGGGUGGUAAUGCCGGAUGCUCCCGCGCCCCGCAUGGGGUGUGGGGAAAGCUUUCGUGGCAUGGGAUGGGGUCGCGUCCUAUCAGCUUGUUGGCGGGGUGAGGGCCCACCAAGGCGUUGACGGGUAGCCGGCCUGAGAGGGCGACCGGCCACAUUGGGACUGAGAUACGGCCCAGACUCCUACGGGAGGCAGCAGUGGGGAAUAUUGCACAAUGGGCGCAAGCSUGAUGCAGCGACGCCGCGUGCGGGAUGGAGGCCUUCGGGUUGUAAACCGCUUUUGUUUGGGAGCAAGCCCUUCGGGGUGAGUGUACCUUUCGAAUAAGCACCGGCUAACUACGUGCCAGCAGCCGCGGUAAUACGUAGGGUGCGAGCGUUAUCCGGAAUUAUUGGGCGUAAAGGGCUCGUAGGCGGUUCGUCGCGUCCGGUGUGAAAGUCCAUCGCUUAACGGUGGAUCCGCGUCGGGUACGGGCGGGCUGGAGUGCGGUAGGGGAGACUGGAAUUCCCGGUGUAACGGUGGAAUGUGUAGAUAUCGGGAAGAACACCAAUGGCGAAGGCAGGUCUCUGGGCCGUUACUGACGCUGAGGAGCGAAAGCGUGGGGAGCGAACAGGAUUAGAUACCCUGGUAGUCCACGCCGUAAACGGUGGAUGCUGGAUGUGGGGCCCUUCCACGGGUCCCGUGUCGGAGCCAACGCGUUAAGCAUCCCGCCUGGGGAGUACGGCCGCAAGGCUAAAACUCAAAGAAAUUGACGGGGGCCCGCACAAGCGGCGGAGCAUGCGGAUUAAUUCGAUGCAACGCGAAGAACCUUACCUGGGCUUGACAUGUUCCCGACGACGGCGGAGACGUCGUUUCCCUUCGGGGCGGGUUCACAGGUGGUGCAUGGUCGUCGUCAGCUCGUGUCGUGAGAUGUUGGGUCAAGUCCCGCAACGAGCGCAACCCUCGCCCCGUGUUGCCAGCGCGUCAUGGCGGGAACUCACGGGGGACCGCCGGGGUUAACCCGGAG